rnacentral:misc_RNA from 1 species
GAUGAAGAACGUAGUGAAUUGCGAUAAGUAAUGUGAAUUGCAGAUUUUCAGUGAAUCAUCGAAUCUUUGAACGCACCUUGCGCUCUUUGGUAUUCCGAAGAGCAUGCCUGUUUGAGUGUCAUGAAAAUAUCAACCUUGACUUGGGUUUUGUGCUCUAGUCUCGGCUUGGAAUUGGGUGCUUGCCGCUUUUACGAGCGGCUCACCUUAAAUGUAUUAGCUGGAUCUGUCUUUGAGACUUGGUUUGACUUGGCGUAAUAAGUAUUUCGCUAAGGACAUUCUUCGGAGUGGCCUCGUUUCUAGGACGCUUGUCCGCUUUCCAAUACAAGUUCCACCUCGUGGACAUGACUUUUUAUUAUCUGGCCUCAAAUCAGGUAGGACUACCCGCUGGACUUAAGCAUAUCAAUAAGCGGAGGA